rnacentral:rRNA from 1 species
ACGAGUGGUGCAAGCGUUAUUCGGAAUCAUUGGGCGUAAAGGGUGUGUAGACGGCAUAUUAAGUCAAUUGUUAAAUUCUCCGGCCUAACCGGAGGCCUGCAGUAGAAACUGAUGUGCUAGAGGGUGGAAGAGAGAUGUGGAAUUCUCGGAGUAGCGGUAAAAUGCGUAGAUCUCGAGAGGAACACCAAUGGCGAAGGCAGUAUCUUGGUCCAUUUCUGACGUUGAGACACGAAAGCGUGGGGAGCAAACAGGA